UACGUAGGGUGCAAGCGUUAAUCGGAAUUACUGGGCGUAAAGCGUGCGCAGGCGGUUCGCUAAGACAGAUGUGAAAUCCCCGGGCUUAACCUGGGAACUGCAUUUGUGACUGGCGGGCUAGAGUAUGGCAGAGGGGGGUAGAAUUCCACGUGUAGCAGUGAAAUGCGUAGAGAUGUGGAGGAAUACCGAUGGCGAAGGCAGCCCCCUGGGCCAAUACUGACGCUCAUGCACGAAAGUGUGGGGAGCAAACAGG
rnacentral:rRNA from 1 species